rnacentral:rRNA from 1 species
UCUGAAAGUUUUGUAUUAAUAGUUUUAUGUGUUUUUAUUUAUCUUUAAUUAAAAUAAUUUUAUUUAUAAUAGUUUUAGUAUAGUUUAUAGAAAUAAUAAUUUGAUUUAUAGUGUAAUAGUAUUGUGAAAGAAUUAUGAAAUAAUUGAAAAUUGAUUUUUAUAAAAGUAGAUUAUUAAUUGUACCUUGUGUAUCAGGGUCUAUUAAAAUUUUUAUACAGAGGUAUAAUUCUCGAGUUAAGAAGAGCUAAUAUAGUAUGCAAUUUAAUGUAAUAUAUUUAUUAGAAAUAUUAUAUUAGUAAUGAAAUGUUAAUCGUUUCUUAAGAUAUCUAGUUUCUUAAGAAGUGAAUUUAAUUCUGUUUAGUUUUAGUAAUAGUUUAAAUUGAAUAAGCGAGUAUUGAAACUAAAAAAUAAUUUGGGGGAUAAGCUUUAAAUUAGCAAUUAUAAUUUUUUUUAAAAUAUUUAAAAUUGUAGGCUUUAAAUUAGCUAUCAAAUUAAUGAUGUUAUAAAUUAUUUUACAUUAGAAUGAUUUUAUAAAAAGUUUAAUUUGUGAAUUAAGAUGAUUUAUUAAAUAAGAGAUUAUUUGAAAUAAUGAUAGAAUUAGUAUAAGAAAUUGUAGGGAGUGGAUAUAUUGGAUAAUUUAUAUUAAGGAACUAGGCAAACAUAAUAUUCGCCUGUUUAACAAAAACAUGUCUUUUAGAGAUACAUUUAAAGUCGGGCCUGCCCACUGAAGAAUUUUUGAAGGGCCGCGGUAUUUUGACCGUGCAAAGGUAGCAUAAUCAUUAGUUUUUUAAUUGAAGGCUAGAAUGAAUGGUUUGACGAAAUAUUGACUGUCUCAAUAUAAAAGUAGAAUUUACCUUUUGAGUCAAAAGGCUUAAAUAAGAGUGGAGGACGAGAAGACCCUAUAGAGCUUUAUACAUCCUAUAAUUAUUUAAUGUAGGAUAGUGAGAGUAGUUAUAAAAGUGUAUUAUGUUGGGGUGACAAGAAGAUUUAAUUAACUCUUUAUAUAGAACUACAUUGAUUUAUGAAUAAUUGAUCCAUUAUUAUUGAUUAUAAGAUAAAGUUACCUUAGGGAUAACAGCGUAAUUUUUUUUGAGAGUUCAUAUCGACAAAAAAGAUUGCGACCUCGAUGUUGGAUUAAGGAAUAUAAUUGGGUGCAGAAAUUUAAUUUAUAGGUCUGUUCGACCUUUGAAUCCUUACAUGAUCUGAGUUCAAACCGGUGUAAGCCAGGUUGGUUUCUAUCCUCACUGAAAGUAGUAUUUUAGUACGAAAGGACCAAAUAUUUGAAAUAAUUUUGUAUUAUAUGAUUGUCAUUACUAUUUUGGCAGAAAGAGUGCCUUGAAUUUAGAAUUCAAACAUGUAAAAAUAUUACAAA